AUUUACCCUUUUAUCAAUAAUAUAUAAUUUAAUUUUUCCAUCUAAAACCCUAAAAAUUAAUCGUCUCUUUUGGUGUUCUCUCUUCUUUGCACAGAUCUCGCCUCGCCUCUCCACCUUCGUGCCGCCGUCGUCACCAAUGUCGUCCCACUUCGUCACAGGUACCAUGGUACUUGCAGGGAUUUUUUGUUCUUCAAUUUUUGGAAGCAUUCCUGCAUUCCUCGUCGGAAGACCGCUGUAAUGGAAUAGAUUGACCUCGAGGAGGAGGUAUUGUUUGGGAGGCUCGUUUGUUGAAAUUGUGUUCGUGUUACUAAAAAAGAUAUAGUUGUUUU